UACGGAGGGGGCUAGCGUUGUUCGGAAUUACUGGGCGUAAAGCGCGCGUAGGCGGACCUGCAAGUCGGGGGUGAAAGCCCGAGGCUCAACCUCGGAACUGCCUUCGAUACUGCGGGUCUCGAGUCCGGGAGAGGUGAGUGGAAUUCCUAGUGUAGAGGUGAAAUUCGUAGAUAUUCGCAAGAACACCAGUGGCGGAAAGGCGGCCUCAGCUGGCCCGAUACUGACGCUGAGGCACGAAGCGUGGGGAGCAAACAGGG
rnacentral:rRNA from 1 species